CCCAUUCCACUUAACAGAAAAGAUGACAUCACCUUUUCCUUUGCUUCCUUUUCACACUUUGUCCUCCCUGAGGUCUCUGGAAAAAUCUCAAGAAAAUAAUCAGCCCUCACUUUCUACUCAUAGAAGUGUCCCAGAAAAGGACCUGAGGCAAAUCUUUGUAUUUCAUUUGUCCUUAAUGAUGGGAGAGCUGUUGUGCCCAGAAGACUUGAAAGCAGGGAGGCGAUUCCAAGAUGCCUAUAACAGCAGGACGUUUUUCUCAGGGAGUACUCAUUCAUGCCUCACUGAAAGUGAAGAUCCUGUCAGAUCCACGACAAGACUGACUUCACAGCCAUUUCACUGAUCAAGACAGUCUUUAUGGGCAUUUUUAGUAAAAGAUAAAUGGUAAGGAGAACUUUUUAUGUAAGAGAUUGCAUUUGGAAAAUGUUUAGUUGCACUGAGCAUGUGUUUGGAGUAACCUGUGACCUAUGUCUCUGUUGUUUAAGGAUUUUUGUUCCAGGAUUUGUUUCUUGCUGGAGAAAUGUGCCCACAAGCCUGUACUCAUAGAUUAUUGUACACUGACAGCCCAGGCAUGGGCCUGAUUCUAAGCAAAACUGUGACAGCAGUCUAUGGGGAUCCCCUU
rnacentral:lncRNA from 1 species